rnacentral:misc_RNA from 1 species
GACAGUGCUGAGGGCUGGACG